UACGUAGGGGGCAAGCGUUAUCCGGAAUUACUGGGUGUAAAGGGUGAGUAGGCGGUAAGAUAAGUCAUAUGUGAAACUCCCGUGCUUAACAUGGGACGUGCAUAAGAAACUAUCAUACUAGAGUACAGGAGAGGUAAGCGGAAUUCCUAGUGUAGCGGUGAAAUGCGUAGAUAUUAGGAAGAACACCGGUGGCGAAGGCGGCUUACUGGACUGAAACUGACGCUGAGGCACGAAAGCGUGGGGAGCGAACAGG
rnacentral:rRNA from 1 species